AAGGGCACCACAAGAACGCGUGGAGCAUGUGGCUUAAUUUGACUCAACGCGGGAAAUCUUACCGGGUCCGGACACACUGAGGAUUGACAGACAAAUACACACACUUUUACGGUGUGUGCAUGAAAUAUGCUAGUUCUUUCAUGAUUAUGUGAUAGGUGGUGCAUGGCCGUUCUUAGUUCGUGGAGUGAUCUGUCUGCUUAAUUGCGUUUCACUAAAGGCACAUACACAUAAUAUUGAUGUGUUGUGUGUAUAAUUUAUAAUUAUACGCAUACACACAUAUUAUAUUGUGCUUUGAAAGCAACGAACGUGACCGCAACCUCUUGUUGCCUGUAUAUAUGUGUAUUUUAUACACACCACAGGCUAUUAUAAACUAGAGGGACCGCUGUUACUUUCUUUUAAACCAGAGGAAGGUUGCGGCAAUAACAGGUCUGUGAUGCCCUUAGAUGUUCCGGGCUGCACACGUGCUACAAUGAUCAUUGCAGUGCGCAUCUCAUUUUGUUAUACACUGCUUGUGCGUAUGUGCACCAAUAUUUAUAUGUGUGUGUAUGUAUUGCACGCAGUAAAGCCUACUUCGAAAGUUGUGGGUAAUCAAUUUGAAGUAAUGAUUUCUCCAAAUAUAUAUACUGCACACUCAUAUACAGUGUCUUAUGUCCAUGAAAAUAUUUUAUUUUUGUGUGUGCAUUCGACGCUCGUAUGUGCAAUUGUCAAUUCAUGGUGGGGACAGACCAUUGUUAAUUGUUGGUCUCGGUCUUAACUAGGAAUGCCUUGUACGGGUCUUUGGUUCAACAAACCACCCGGAAUACGUCCCUGCCCUUUGUACACACCGCCCGUCGCUCUUACCGAUGGACUUCUCUGUGAGUUUGAGGGACUGGAUUUUAUAUCUAUGGAAACUCAAACGAACAGUGUGGUCUAAAGGAAAGAGAAGUCGUAACAAGGCAUCCGUAGGUGAACCU
rnacentral:rRNA from 1 species